rnacentral:rRNA from 1 species
UAAGAGGUCCCGCCUGCCCCGUGACAAUAGUUUAACGGCCGCGGUAUUUUGACCGUGCAAAGGUAGCGCAAUCACUUGUCUUUUAAAUGAAGACCUGUAUGAAUGGCAUAACGAGGGCUUAACUGUCUCCUUUUUCAAGUCAAUGAAAUUGAUCUCCCCGUGCAGAAGCGGGGAUACCUUCAUAAGACGAGAAGACCCUAUGAAGCUUUAGACACCAAAGCAGCUCCCGUAAACAUUUCUAAACAAAGAAUAAAACUAGAAGAGCCCUGCCCUAAUGUCUUUGGUUGGGGCGACCGCGGGGAAAAACAUAACCCCCAUGAGGAACAAGAGAACUUCUCUCACAACCAAGAGCUACAGCUCUAAUUAACAGAACAUCUGACCACCAGAUCCGGCAACGCCGAUCAACGGACCGAGUUACUCUAGGGAUAACAGCGCAAUCUUCUUUUAGAGCCCAUAUCGACAAGAAGGUUUACGACCUCGAUGUUGGAUCAGGACAUCCUAAUGGUGCAGCCGCUAUUAAGGGUUCGUUUGUUCAACG